rnacentral:rRNA from 1 species
AGAGUUGAUCAUGGCUCAGGACGAACGCUGGCGGCGUGCCUAACACAUGCAAGUCGAGCGGAGACAGACGGAAAGCUUGCUUUCUGUCUGUUCAGCGGCGGACGGGUGAGUAACGCGUGAGCAACCUGCCUUUAACAGGGGAAUAACGCAUCGAAAGAUGUGCUAAUACCGCAUAAGACCACAGCAUCACAUGGUGCAGGGGUCAAAGGAGCAAUCCGGUUAAAGAUGGGCUCGCGUCCGAUUAGCUGGUUGGUGAGACAACAGCCCACCAAGGCGACGAUCGGUAGCCGACCUGAGAGGGUGAUCGGCCACAUUGGAACUGAGAUACGGUCCAGACUCCUACGGGAGGCAGCAGUGGGGAAUAUUGGGCAAUGGGCGAAAGCCUGACCCAGCAACGCCGCGUGAGGGAAGAAGGGUUUCGGCUCGUAAACCUCUGUCCUAUGGGACGAAGGAAGUGACGGUACCAUAGGAGGAAGCCCCGGCUAACUACGUGCCAGCAGCUGC